UUGUUGGAGAGUUUGAUCCUGGCUCAGGACGAACGCUGGCGGCGUGCUUAACACAUGCAAGUCGAACGCUGAAGCCGCCUUCGGGCGGUGGAUGAGUGGCGAACGGGUGAGUAACACGUGGGUAAUCUGCCCUGUACUCUGGGAUAAGCCUGGGAAACUGGGUCUAAUACUGGAUAGGACACAUCGCUGCAUGGUGGUGUGUGGAAAGCUUCGGCGGUACGGGAUGAGCCCGCGGCCUAUCAGCUUGUUGGUGGGGUGAUGGCCUACCAAGGCGACGACGGGUAGCCGGCCUGAGAGGGUGACCGGCCACACUGGGACUGAGACACGGCCCAGACUCCUACGGGAGGCAGCAGUGGGGAAUAUUGCACAAUGGGCGGAAGCCUGAUGCAGCGACGCCGCGUGGGGGAUGACGGCCUUCGGGUUGUAAACCCCUUUCGCCCGGGACG
rnacentral:rRNA from 1 species